UGACAGUUAAACUAUUGGGAAUAGCCUCUGCACCACUUAAAAUGCAAACUCAUGUCUGUAGAAACCCUUGAUAUGUGAAGCUGACUAUGGCUGGGGUUCUUUCCUGGUUGCUUAAGGGCACCACUUUCAGAUAAAACAUAGACCUGAAUGGCAUCAUCCAGUAUCCAAGGAAACCAUCUUUACCCUUCAUAAAAGCACCGGCAAGCGGAAAGAAAUGACAGUAAGACUGAAUUAUGAACUUUAAAAAGUUGAGAACAAGUAACUACUUGUACUGUGAAAGCUGGUCUCUCUGCUCUUGAUUAACU